ensembl:snRNA U6 U6 spliceosomal RNA
GUGCUCGCUUCGGCAGCACAUGUACUAAAACUGGAACGAUGCAGAGAUUAGCAUGGCCCCUGCGUAAGGAUGACGCACAAAUUCGAGAAGCGUUCCAUAUAAAA